AUACUUUACCUGGCAGGCAGGUGACUCCAUGAUCAAGCAGGUGGAUCACCAGAGCGAGUGAUCAGCCAUUGCACUUCGGCUUUUCUGACCUCUAUGAAUUCUCCACAUGUGGAGAAUCUCAACUGCAUACUCUCUGCUAGUGGGGGACUGCGUUCGCGCUUUCCCCAU